UUCAGUGUUAAACAUUUCUGAGUUGAUUUCAACACCCAAAGAGUAAUUUUAACACAUUCUGAGUAAAAUGGUGUCCGGUGUUGGAGUUACUUGACAGAGUGUGAUCAUCAGUGUUAAAACAACUCCAAAGAGAUGUAAUUAUACUCCGCCCCCGCAUUUCCGGCCAUUGCUGGAGAAACCGCCGCCAUUAUCCUCGCAUGGGUUCGAACGGUAGAAUUUUCAGACUCCUUGUCUUCCAUAUCUGAGACGUCUGACUCAAGCAACAGCACAAGUGCAUGGACUAAUCCCUAGCAAGAGACAAAUAACUGAGGAGACAUCUGCACUGCCUCUUAAACAGAUGGUUAAAGAUGUGUUAAAGUUCAAGUCUGGUGGUGAAGCAGUACUACAGGAGUAUCAAGAAACAGAAACCCUUACAGAUGCCACAAGAAGACAAAUGAUUAACAUACUGGUGGCUCACAUGAUUGAUACACAUGGGUAUUUUAUUUUUAUUAUUAUUUUUUAAACCAAAUAACUGCAUGGCCAUUGUGCAAAUUAAGAUAACUAGUUUAUCUUCCCUUAGGCAACUCCCUACUAAAGCAAUCAGAAAACAGAAUGCUCUUGGCAUAGUGAUGCUGUUCCCUUCCCUCAGAGAUCCAUACUCCAAGAAAGGCUCCGAACACUUUUAUGAUGCUGCAAGUGACACAGGAUACAUUGCCUGGCGUAAUAAAAACAGUCCACAGCAAUAUGGAGCGAUGCCACCAGACAGCCCUCUUCCUCAACAGUCUACAGCCAGGAAAUGGCAUCCCUUCUUUUAAUCCCUUCCACCACUUCCAGGAGGACUGAAGUCUCCAAAAAUUGCAUGCGAUGCAGCUGAAAGCCAUGUAAUCUAUCAUAAGUUUGGAGAAGCACCUCAGCAACAACCAUCCGUUCCUCCUUGCUGUUGGACGUCAGAAAAGCAACAGCUUCUACAUCGCCUUGGAUAAGCAUCUCCUCCCAUGCCAGGCAAACUGCUUCCUUGGAGCAUUUGAUGAACUUUUAAAUUUUGUGCACAUUUUAGCACAUUUUGUGUUCAGUUUGCCAUAUGAUAGUGCACUUGUGAACUUUUACACAUUACUACACAUUUUUAUGAGCAUCUUCAUGCAUUCAGAGUACUACGAAGUGAGGAAAGGUGUAUUAUAAAAAUGUCAGAGAUUAAAUUUUAUGAGCCAUUUGAUAUUCAAAACUCAUAGUGUGGCAGAUGAAAGUUUGUAUAUCAUUCCUUCUUUUGUAAUGUUUUAAUUCUACUUCAAAUUGCACUGCAAGGGAGAAUUAAAAAUAAACAUGUCGAUGGAAAUUAUGUUGUGUGUUGUAGUUGAUUUAACUAUGUUUUCAGUAUAUUUAACAGUGUUUUGUUGAUCUUUUAACCACCUAAAUUCUAAAUUCCAACCACCUAAAACAUGCAACUCU